CCUACGGGAGGCAGCAGUAGGGAAUAUUGCUCAAUGGGGGAAACCCUGAAGCAGCCACGCCGCGUGUAUGAUGAAGGUUUUCGGGUUGUAAACUCCUUUUGUUGGAGAAGAUAAUGACGGUAUCUAACGAAUCAGCACCGGCUAACUCCGUGCCAGCAACCACGGUAAUACGGCGGGUGCAAGCGGUACUCGGAAUCACUGGGCGUAAAGAGCGCGCAGGCGGGAUAGCAAGUCAGAUGUGAAAUCCUAUGGCUUAACCAUAGAACUGCAUUUGAAACUGUUAUUCUAGAGUAUGGUAGAGGGAGGUGGAAUUCCUGGUGUAGGGGUAAAAUCCGUAGAGAUCAAGAGGAAUACCGAUGGCGAAGGCGACCUGCUAGAACAUAACUGACGCUCAGGUGCGAAAGCGUGGGGAGCAAACAGGAUUAGAUACCCUUGUAGUC
rnacentral:rRNA from 1 species